UGGGGAAUAUUGCGCAAUGGACGAAAGUCUGACGCAGCAACGCCGCGUGAGGGAUGACGGCCUUCGGGUUGUAAACCUCUUUCAGCAGGGACGAAGCGAGAGUGACGGUACCUGCAGAAGAAGGACCGGCCAACUACGUGCCAGCAGCCGCGGUAAUACGUAGGGUCCGAGCGUUGUCCGGAAUUAUUGGGCGUAAAGGGCUCGUAGGCGGUUCGUCACGUCGGGAGUGAAAACUCGGAGCUUAACUCCGAGCCUGCUUCCGAUACGGGCAGACUAGAGGUAGGCAGGGGAGAGCGGAACUCCUGGCGUAGCGGUGGAAUGCGCAGAUAUCAGGAAGAACACCGGUGGCGAAGGCGGCUCUCUGGGCCUUACCUGACGCUGAGGAGCGAAAGCGUGGGUAGCGAACAGG
rnacentral:rRNA from 1 species